rnacentral:rRNA from 1 species
GCGCAGCAGUCGCGAAUCCUUCGCAAUGCAGGAAACUGCGACGAGGGAACUCCAAGUGCCUACGCUCAGCGUAGGCUGUUCUCAAGCUUAGAAAGCUUGAGGAGUAAGGGCUGGGUAAGACGGGUGCCAUCUGUGGUAGCAGUCAAUAGAUUCGAUUUGUUACUGCAAGGCAUAAGCCGCCGCGGUAAUACCCGCAGCCCAAGUGGUGGCCGCUUUUAUUGGGCCUAAAGCGUCCGUAGCCGGCCCGGUAAAUGGCCUGGGUAAAUCGUGGAGCCCAACUUCACGAAUUCCCGGGUAGACUGCCGAGCUCGGGGACCGGAAGAGGGAGAGGGUACUUCAGGGGUAGGGGUGAAAAUUUCCUCUCCGAUUAACGCUUUGCGCGAAGCGGAAAGGUU